AUAAAGUUAGUUAAAUAAUAAUUUUAGGUUGUCAGCCUUAAGUUACUAAUGAGAUUUAGUACUUUUUA
rnacentral:tRNA from 1 species